rnacentral:rRNA from 1 species
UACGUAGGUGGCAAGCGUUGUCCGGAUUUACUGGGCGUAAAGAGCGCGCAGGCGGUCGUCCAAGUCGCGUGUGAAAGACCCCGGCUCAACUGGGGAGGGUCGUGCGAAACGGGUGAACUAGAGGCCAGUAGGGGGAUGCGGAAUUCCGGGUGUAGUGGUGGAAUGCGUAGAGAUCCGGAGGAACACCAGCGGCGAAGGCGGCAUCCUGGACUGGUCCUGACACUCAGGAGCGAAAGCGUGGGGAGCGAUCCGG